UGUGCAUUAGGAACACGCAGGGGCUUCAGAGCUUGACUGCAGAGUUCUGUUUUGCCUACACGAGGUGAGAUCUGGACGCUGCAGAGUGUGAGCACCACAAUGGCUGAAUUUGCAAGACCUGGUGAAAAAGUGGCUUAGGUGAGUAGGCUGGAGAUGUGUUUGGAGGACUGUGAUGCAUGGGGCUGUGGUAAGUGGGAAAUGCCAUGAACUCCUUGUCAGGAGGGUGAAGCUGCAGGAGGGGAAGGUGUGGGAGCUGACCACACAGCAGGGAGGAACAAUUGAGAAGUCCUUCAAGGUCAGUGUGAACAGUCAGAGAUCUCAAGGAUGUGCUGUAAUUCUUAUGUAAAUGCAGGUGUGGGGGAUGCACCAAAGGCUUCAGCCUGAUGCACUUGCCUUUGACUUCUUGUGGGCAUUAGAAUCACAAAAAUAGUCUCCUUUGUCUCAGUAUCUUGGGGACAUUGCACUGAAUUGACUCUUUGCAGUUUGUGGGUGAGGUCAUUGUUACAGGGCCAUUUUCAGCUGAAGGGGAACAGAAUGAGAGAAAGUUAUGGCUGCACAAACACAUUAACCCUAUAGUCAAGGAGGAAGCUUGAAACAAGGAUCCAAGGCCAGAGGCUUGUGGGGGGGGAUUAGGAUUCAAGGGGACUUUGCCAGGGAUCUCUAUGCUGGAUGAAACUGAAGGUCUUCCAAAUGAGGAGAAACCUUCCGUGAGACAAGGACUGCUGCUGAACACAUCUCAUUUGCAGGUAGGGCUGCUCCAGCACAAUCAAACAUGCACCACUGACACUCACGUUAAGCCAGUGUCACUGUGUGCUGCCUGGACUACUUGGCCCUGCUGUUCAGUGCUGCCAGGAGAAGUCAUGAUCUGUGAUGUUAUCACCCUCAUCUUCCAGGGCAGUGUAGCACUGUGGCUGGGUGGUAUGAUACUUCCAA
rnacentral:lncRNA from 1 species